rnacentral:rRNA from 1 species
UACGUAGGGUGCGAGCGUUGUCCGGAAUUAUUGGGCGUAAAGAGCUCGUAGGCGGUUUGUCGCGUCGGCCGUGAAAACUUGGGGCUUAACCCCGAGCCUGCGGUCGAUACGGGCAGACUUGAGUUCGGCAGGGGAGACUGGAAUUCCUGGUGUAGCGGUGAAAUGCGCAGAUAUCAGGAAGAACACCCGUGGCGAAGGCGGCUCUCUGGGACGGUACUGACGCUGAGACGCGAAAGCGUGGGGAGCGAACAGG